UCUAUAUUUAUUCGUUUGUUGAAAAAUGCAUUAACUCUUGGCAGAGGUUGGCUUGAGAUGUUUUGUAUGGUUGCAUAUUGAGAUACAAAUAGUUUUAGAUUUCAGAAACCAGUAAAAUUAUAAGCAACACACUAUAAAUGAACAUCUACUGUUAGCAUGAUUUCAUAAAAGAAAAGGUCUUUUUAACAUCAAAAAGGGAAAACAUAAUGGCAUAAUCUCAGAAUUAAACAAGGCCAUUUAAUUUGAAUACAUUUAUCUCCCAAAAUGUUACUUCAUUUCCCUUCAUUUUCUUAUUUCACAAGAGCAUGGUGAACACUUCAUUAAGAACUAAUAUUUAGGAGCCAGUAGUAUAGAGAAGGAAGUUGAACCCCAUGUGGCUCAGACAAAGGAUCUUAAAGGUUAAAUGUUAAGAACCAUUUAUAUUGAAGAUCAAUCAGAAAAGAUGAAUCAUUUCUGGUUUUAUAAUGGGAUUUAUUUGCACAGAGAUUUUCGGGAAUCCACUGUGCAAAGAGAGGUGCAGCUGCAUCUUUUUCAUGCAUAUCCCUAUUGGCAGCAGAAGAGCACAGAUACGUAGAUACCAAUUACCUUAGUCUAUAAUAGCAAAUGAUGUGCCCUUCUUAAUUUCUUCUUGGAAAAGCUUGCUACGAGUGCCAUGUUAUUGCAUUCUCCUAACACAUCUCUGAAUUCUAGAUGUACAAUGCUGAGUGCCACCCAGCGCUUUGUAAUGCUUUCUUCACAGCUGGUUAUUUUCAGCUUCAUUCUUCACGUUUGUUUUAGCUCUCAGACAUGUCAACAUGUUCCCUUCAGCCCUGCAUAUCAUAAUAGAUCUCUCUGAAAGUGACAAAAAUAUUCUCAUAAAAAAUUUCUGUGCAAAAUUAUAACACCACACUUUAAAAUAAAUGCUGUCUUGACUGGUUACCAUAUUUCCAGAAAUAUUCUAAAAUAGUUAUCUUCACGCCCCAAUUUCCUCAUUUGGCUUCGAAGUACUUUGUUCUCUGACCUUGUGAAGAAAACGAUGGCUUCACAUAUGCUUCAUUCUUCUUUGGGGAAGAGACAGCGUCGUUACUUUUUGAGCAUCAAAGUGAUACAUGAAUUGCCAUUAGGGAGAGCAGCAUAUUCUCCCAGGACUCAAAUCUUCCCUGAUACCUUAGAAAGUGACAUUCAUUUCUACAGGUCAUGAGAGUAGCUUUUACCUCAUAACAUUUUAUGGGGUCAGUGCAUCUGAAUAACACAAGACUAAGAGGAAGAAAAUGGAAUGCAAAAUGUUAUCAGUGCCAUCCAUGUUCAACACAGUGAUUACAGAUACAAAAGGGGAGUGGGUGGGAGCCAUAGAAAGGGCAGUCCACAGGGACAGAAGGCCUAUGGUGAAAAACUACUGCCUCUUUGGGACUAAAUAUCACUAUGUGGUGCAGCAUUUUGUGAGAAAAGCUAAUUUGAGCAGCAUUUUUUUAUCCUGAAAUUUUGCUAUGGUUUUUUUUUUUUUUUUUUGUCUUAUUCUCUUUCUUUCCAAAAAUACAUUUUGGUCAGUCUUUUGAAAAUAAUCUAAGUUUGCAAGGAAUGUAAUGUUAUUUCAUUGAAAGAAAGUAUCUCUAUUCCCAAAUGUCUAUGUUUAUAGGCUGCACUGUAUUUACUAGGGAAGAGAUUUGUAUCGUAAUUGAAAUAGACUCAUAAUAAUUUCCUGGAGAUGAUAACUGCAUGGUCACAGAUUUUUAGGACCCUGCUAUAUAUGUGUAUACAUAGCUACAUAUAUUUUAGGACCCUGCUAUAUAUGUGUAUAUAUAGCUAUAUAUAUUUUAGGACCCUGCUAUAUAUGUGUAUGUAUGCAUAUGUCUGUGUGUGCCUAUAUACAUAUGUAUAUAUAUUACAUGCAUACACAUAGAUUAACAUUUUAAAAGUACAUAUACAGGCAUACUUCAAAGAUAUUGUGGAUUUGGUUCCAGACCACUACAAUAAAGUAAGUCACACAAAUUCUUUGGUUUCCCAGGGCAUAUAAAAGUUGUGUGUAUGAAUAAUAGCAUUAUGUGAAAAAUUCCCAAUGUUCAUAACUUAAUUUAAAAAUACUUUACUUUAUUACUAAAAAAAAAAAGCUACUGCUCAUCUGACCCUUCAGAGUCUUAAUCUUUUUGUUGCUAGAAGGUCUUCCCUCAAGGUUGAUGGCUGCUGCUGAAUGAUCAGGUGGUGGUUACUGAAGGUUGAGUUAGUUGUGGUUAUUUCUUAAAAUAAAACAGGAAAGUUUGGUGCAUCCAUUGACUCUUCCUUUUACCAACCAUUUCUCUGUAGCAUGUGAUGCUGUUUGAUAGCAUCUUACCCACAGCAGAACCUUUCAAAACUAGAGUCGAACCUUUCAAAUUCUGAUGCUGUCUCAUCAACUAAGUUUAGAAAAUAUUCUAUUUUUGUGUGUUGUCAUUUCAAAAAUGUUCACAGCAUCUUCACCAGGAGUGGAUUCUAUCUCAAGAAACCUCUUUCUUGGCCUAUCCAUAAGAAGCAACUCCUCAUUUGUUCAAAUUUUAUCCUGAGAUUCAGUUAUGUACUCAGGCUCCACUUCUGAUUCUACUUUUCUCACUCUGCCCACUACAUCUAUAGGAACUUCCUCCACUGAAACCUUGAAUGCCUCAAAGUCUUCCAUGAGAGUUGGAAUUAACCUCCUUUAAAUUCCUGUUAGUGUUGAUAUUUUGAUCUCUUCCCGUGAAUCACAAAUGUUCUUAAGGACAUCUAGAAUGGUGCAUCCUUUCCAGAAGAUUUUCAAUGUACUUUGCUCAGAUCCAUCAUAAAUGUCACUAUGGCAGUUGUAGCCUUAUGAAGUGUUUUUCUUAAAUAAUAAGACUUGAAAGUAAAAAUUACUCCUUUAUCUGUGUGCUACAAAAUGGAUGAUUUGUUUGCAGGCAUGAAAACAACAUUAAUCUUCUUGUAUAUUUCCGUCAGAGCUCUUGGGUUACCAGCUUCAUUGUCAAUGAGCAGUAAUAUUUAGAAAGGAAUCUUUUUUUUGAAGCAGUAGGUCUCAACAGUGGGCUUAAAAUAUUCAGUAAACCAUAGUAUAAACAGGAGCGCUUUCAUCAGGCUUUGUUGUUUCAUUUAUAGGGCACAGGCAGAGUAGGUUUAGCAUAAUUCUUAAGGGCCCAAGGACUUUCAGACUGGUUAAUGAGCAUUGGUUUCAACUUCAAGUGACCAGCUGCAUUAGCCCCUAAUGAGAGAGUCAGCCUGUUCUUUGAAGCUUUGAAGCCAGGUAUUGACUUCUCUGUAGCUACGAAAGUCUUAGAUGGCAUCUUCUUUCAGUAGAAGGCUGUUAACACAUGUUGUGUAGUGUAGCCACCUUCAUCAAUUAUCUUAGCUAGAUCUUCUGGAUGACUUGCUUCAGCUUCUUCAUAAGCACUUGCUUCUCCACUUGCACUUUUAUGUUAUGGAGAUGGUUGCUUUAUUUCCUUAAACCUCAUAAGCCAACCUCUGGUGGCUUUAAACUUUUCUCCUGCUGUUUCCUCACCUCUCUCAGCCUUCACAGAAUUGAAAAGAGUUAGAACUUUCCUCUGAAUUAGGCUUUGGCUUAGGGGAAUGUUGGGGCUGGUUUGAUUCUCUAUCCAAACCACUCAAACUUUCUUCUUUUCAGCAAUAAGGCUGUUAUGCUUUCUGGUCAUUUGUGUGUUCACUGGAGUAGAAUUUUCAUUUUCCUCAAAAGCUUUUCCUUUGCAUUCACACCACAGUUAGCUGAUGCAAGAGGCCUAGCUUUUGGCCCAUCUUAUCUUUCUACAGACCUUUCUCACUAAGCUUCAUCAUGUCUAGCUUUUGAUUUAAAAUAAGAGACGUGCAACUCUUCCUUUCACUUCAACACUCAGAAGUCUUUGUAGAAGUAUUAGUUGGUCUAAUUUCAAUACAGUUGUGUCCCAAGGAAUAGGGAGACCUG
rnacentral:lncRNA from 1 species